rfam:Felis catus isolate Cinnamon breed Abyssinian chromosome E1, whole genome shotgun sequence.
CCCUGGGUGGCUCAGUUGGUUGAGCCUCCGAUUUCGGCUCAGGUCAUGAUCUCACGGUUCGUGGGUUCAAGUCCCACAUCAGGCU